rnacentral:tRNA from 1 species
GCUCGGUUAGUCAAGUGGGCUAAGACACUGGCCUUUCACGUCAGUAGCACGGGUUCGAACCCCGUACCGAGUA